GAUGAACGCUGGCGGCGUGCCUAAUACAUGCAAGUCGAGCGAACAGACGAGAGUGCUUGCCCUCUCUGACGUUAGCGGCGGACGGGUGAGCAACACGUGGGUAACCUACCUAUAAGACUGGGAUCACUUCGGGAAACCGGAGCUAAUACCGGAUAAUAUUUAGCUUCGCAUGAAGCAAUAGUGAAAGACGGUUCUGCUGUCACUUAUAGAUGGACCCGCGGUGUAUUAGCUAGUUGGUGAGGUAACGGCUCACCAAGGCAACGAUACAUAGCCGACCUGAGAGGGUGAUCGGCCACACUGGAACUGAGACACGGCCCAGACUCCUACGGGAGGCAGCAGUAGGGAAUCUUCCGCAAUGGACGAAAGUCUGACGGAGCAAUGCCGCGUGAGUGAAGAAGGUUUUCGGAUCGUAAAACUCUGUUGUAAGGGAAGAACAAGUACGUUAGUAACUGAACGUACCUUGACGGUACCUUACCAGAAAGCCACGGCUAACUACGUG
rnacentral:rRNA from 1 species